rnacentral:rRNA from 1 species
AACGACANCAUUGACCCUUCGGGUGANUUGUUGGGCGUCGAGCGGCGGACGGGUGAGUAAUGCCUGGGAAAUUGCCCUGAUGUGGGGGAUAACCAUUGGAAACGAUGGCUAAUACCGCAUAAUGUCUACGGACCAAAGAGGGGGACCUUCGGGCCUCUCGCUUCAGGAUAUGCCCAGGUGGGAUUAGCUAGUUGGNGAGGUAAUGGCUCACCAAGGCGACGAUCCCUAGCUGGUCUGAGAGGAUGAUCAGCCACACUGGAACUGAGACACGGUCCAGACUCCUACGGGAGGCAGCAGUGGGGAAUAUUGCACAAUGGGCGCAAG